rnacentral:rRNA from 1 species
UCAGGAUGAACGCUAGCGGGAGGCUUAACACAUGCAAGUCGAGGGGUAAGGUUCUCUUCGGAGAAUACACGACCGGCGCACGGGUGAGUAACGCGUAUGCAACCUACCUAUAACACAAGGAUAGCUCCCGGAAACGGGAAUUAAUACUUGAUGACAUUCAAAGAUGGCAUCAUCAAUGAAUCAAAGUUCCGGCGGUUAUAGAUGGGCAUGCGUGACAUUAGCUAGUUGGUGAGGUAGAGGCUCACCAAGGCGACGAUGUCUAGGGGGUCUGAGAGGAUGAUCCCCCACACUGGUACUGAGACACGGACCAGACUCCUACGGGAGGCAGCAGUGAGGAAUAUUGCGCAAUGGAGGAAACUCUGACGCAGCCAUCCCGCGUGCAGGAUUGACGGCCCUAUGGGUUGUAAACUGCUUUUCUAUACCAAGAAACACCGAUACGUGUAUCGGUUUGCCGGUAGUAUAGGAAUAAGCAUCGGCUAACUCCGUGCCAGCAGCCGCGGUAAUACGGAGGAUGCAAGCGUUAUCCGGAAUCACUGGGUUUAAAGGGUGCGCAGGCGGAAUAGUAAGUCAGAGGUGAAAGCCCACAGCUCAACUGUGGAAUUGCCUUUGAUACUGUUAUUCUUGAGUGUAGUUGAAGUAGGCGGAAUAUAGCAUGUAGCGGUGAAAUGCAUAGAUAUGCUAUAGAACACCAAUUGCGAAGGCAGCUUGCUAAACUAUAACUGACGCUGAGGCACGAAAGCGUGGGGAGCGAACAGGAUUAGAUACCCUGGUAGUCCACGCCGUAAACUAUGAACACUCGCUGUUGGCAAUACACAGUCAGCGGCUGAGCGAAAGCGUUAAGUGUUCCACCUGGGAAGUACGAUCGCAAGGUUGAAACUCAAAGGAAUUGACGGGGGCCCGCACAAGCGGAGGAGCAUGUGGUUUAAUUCGAUGAUACGCG